GAUGAACGCUGGCGGCGUGCCUAAUACACGCAAGUCGAGCGAACGGACGAGAAGCUUGCUUCUCUGAUGUUAGCGGCGGACGGGUGAGUAACACGUGGAUAACCUACCUAUAAGACUGGGAUAACUUCGGGAAACCGGAGCUAAUACCGGAUAAUAUUUUGAACCGCAUGGUUCAAAAGUGAAAGACGGUCUUGCUGUCACUUAUAGAUGGAUCCGCGCUGCAUUAGCUAGUUGGUAAGGUAACGGCUUACCAAGGCAACGAUGCAUAGCCGACCUGAGAGGGUGAUCGGCCACACUGGAACUGAGACACGGUCCAGACUCCUACGGGAGGCAGCAGUAGGGAAUCUUCCGCAAUGGGCGAAAGCCUGACGGAGCAACGCCGCGUGAGUGAUGAAGGUCUUCGGAUCGUAAAACUCUGUUAUUAGGGAAGAACAUAUGUGUAAGUAACUGUGCACAUCUUGACGGUACCUAAUCAGAAAGCCACGGCUAACUACGUGCCAGCAGCCGCGGUAAUACGUAGGUGGCAAGCGUUAUCCGGAAUUAUUGGGCGUAAAGCGCGCGUAGGCGGUUUUUUAAGUCUGAUGUGAAAGCCCACGGCUCAACCGUGGAGGGUCAUUGGAAACUGGAAAACUUGAGUGCAGAAGAGGAAAGUGGAAUUCCAUGUGUAGCGGUGAAAUGCGCAGAGAUAUGGAGGAACACCAGUGGCGAAGGCGACUUUCUGGUCUGUAACUGACGCUGAUGUGCGAAAGCGUGGGGAUCAAACAGGAUUAGAUACCCUGGUAGUCCACGCCGUAAACGAUGAGUGCUAAGUGUUAGGGGGUUUCCGCCCCUUAGUGCUGCAGCUAACGCAUUAAGCACUCCGCCUGGGGAGUACGACCGCAAGGUUGAAACUCAAAGGAAUUGACGGGGACCCGCACAAGCGGUGGAGCAUGUGGUUUAAUUCGAAGCAACGCGAAGAACCUUACCAAAUCUUGACAUCCUUUGACAACUCUAGAGAUAGAGCCUUCCCCUUCGGGGGACAAAGUGACAGGUGGUGCAUGGUUGUCGUCAGCUCGUGUCGUGAGAUGUUGGGUUAAGUCCCGCAACGAGCGCAACCCUUAAGCUUAGUUGCCAUCAUUAAGUUGGGCACUCUAAGUUGACUGCCGGUGACAAACCGGAGGAAGGUGGGGAUGACGUCAAAUCAUCAUGCCCCUUAUGAUUUGGGCUACACACGUGCUACAAUGGACAAUACAAAGGGCAGCGAAACCGCGAGGUCAAGCAAAUCCCAUAAAGUUGUUCUCAGUUCGGAUUGUAGUCUGCAACCCGACUACAUGAAGCUGGAAUCGCUAGUAAUCGUAGAUCAGCAUGCUACGGUGAAUACGUUCCCGGGUCU
rnacentral:rRNA from 1 species